rnacentral:rRNA from 1 species
UAGUCCAUGCUGUAAACGAUGAUUACUAGGUGUGGGGCCGUGCCGGAGUUAACACAAUAAGUAAUCCACUGGGGAGUACGACCGCAAGGUUGAAACUCAAAGGAAUUGACGGGGGCCCGCACAAGCAGUGGAGUAUGUGGUUUAAUUCGAAGCAACGCGAAGAACCUUACCAGGUCUUGACAUCCAGGUGGUGCAUGGUUGUCGUCAGCUCGUGUCGUGAGAUGUUGGGUUAAUCCCGCAACGAGCGCAACCCUUAUCAUUAGUUACGACUCUAAUGAGACUGCCGUUGAGAAAACGGAGGAAGGUGGGGAUGACGUCAUCACAUGCCCCUUAUGACCUGGGCUACACACGUACUACAAUGGCUGUCACAAAGUGAACCAAAUACGCGAGUAAGAGGGAAACACAAAAAACAGUCACAGUUCGGAUUGUAGGCUGCAACUCGCCUACAUGAAGCCGGAAUUGCUAGUAAUCGCGGAUCAGCAUGCCGCGGUGAAUACGUUCCCGGGCCUUGUACACACCGCCCGUCACACCAUGAGAGCGGGGGACCCGAAGUCCAGGCCGAAGGUAAAACUGGUGAUUGGGGUGAAGUCGUAACAAGGUAACCGA